rnacentral:rRNA from 1 species
UUUGAUGGAGAGUUUGAUCCUGGCUCAGGAUGAACGCUGGCGGCGUGCUUAACACAUGCAAGUCGAACGAUGAAGCUGGUGCUUGCACUGGUGGA